UACAGAGGGGGCAAGCGUUGUUCGGAAUUACUGGGCGUAAAGGGCGCGUAGGUGGCCUUCUAAGUUGAACGUGAAAUCCCUGGGCUCAACCCAGGAACUGCGUCCAAGACUGGGAGGCUUGAAUCCGGGAGAGGGAUGCGGAAUUCCAGGUGUAGCGGUGAAAUGCGUAGAUAUCUGGAGGAAUACCGGUGGCGAAGGCGGCAUCCUGGACCGGCAUUGACGCUGAGGAGCGAAAGCUAGGGGAGCAAACGGG
rnacentral:rRNA from 1 species